rnacentral:rRNA from 1 species
CCUACGUGUGGCUGCAGUGGGGGAUAUUGGACAAUGGGGGAAACCCUGAUCCAGCGAUGCCGCGUGAGGGAAGAAGGUUUUCGGAUUGUAAACCUCUGUUGAGGGGGACGAUAAUGAGUGUACCCCUUUAGGAAGCCACGGCUAACGACGUGCCAGCAGCCGCGGUAAUACGUAGGUGGAGAGCGGUGUACGGAAUUAUUGGGGGUAAAGGGAGUGUAGGCGGGAAAGCAAGUCGGAAGUGAAAACUAUGGGCUUAACCCAUAGCCUGCUUUUGAAACUGUUUUUCUUGAGUGAAGUAGAGGCAAGCGGAAUUCCUAGUGUAGCGGUGAAAUGCGUAGAUAUUAGGAGGAACACCAGUGGCGAAGGCGGCUUGCUGGGCUUUUACUGACGCUGAGGCUCGAAAGCGUGGGGAGCGAACAGGAUUAGAUACCCUUGUAGUC